CCUACGGGAGGCAGCAGUGGGGAAUAUUGCGCAAUGGGCGAAAGCCUGACGCAGCAACGCCGCGUGGGGGAUGAAGGCCUUCGGGUUGUAAACCUCUUUCAGCAGGGAAGAAGCGAAAGUGACGGUACCUGCAGAAGAAGCACCGGCUAACUACGUGCCAGCAGCCGCGGUAAUACGUAGGGUGCAAGCGUUGUCCGGAUUUAUUGGGCGUAAAGAGCUCGUAGGCGGUUAGUCACGUCGGAUGUGAAAUCCCGGAGCUUAACUCCGGGCCUGCAUUCGAUACGGGCUGACUCGAGUGUUGUAGGGGAGACUGGAACUCCUGGUGUAGCGGUGAAAUGCGCAGAUAUCAGGAAGAACACCGGUGGCGAAGGCGGGUCUCUGGGCAACUACUGACGCUGAGGAGCGAAAGCGUGGGGAGCAAACAGGAUUAGAUACCCUGGUAGUCCACGCCGUAAACGGUGGGCGCUAGGUGUGGGGAACAUUCCACGUUCUCUGCGCCGCAGCUAACGCAUUAAGCGCCCCGCCUGGGGAGUACGGCCGCAAGGCAAAACUUAAAGGAAUUGACGG
rnacentral:rRNA from 1 species